AUUGAACGCUGGCGGCAGGCCUAAUACAUGCAAUUCGAACGAGUGGCGGACGGGUGAGUAAUGUCUGGGAAACUGCCUGAUGGAGGGGGAUAACUACUGGAAACGGUAGCUAAUACCGCAUAGCAUCCGAUGUGCCCAGAUGGGAUUAGCUAGUUGGUGGGGUAACGGCUAACCAAGGCGACGAUCCCUAGCUGGUCUGAGAGGAUGACCAGACACACCAGAGAUGAGACAAGGUCCUGAAUCCGUAGUGAGGCAACAGAGGGGAAUAUUGCACAAUGGGAGCAAGGCUGAUGCAGCCGUGCCGCGUGUGUGAAGAAGGCGAUCGGUUUAUAAAGUACUUUCAGCGGUGAGGCGUUACCCGCAGAAGAAGCACCGGCUAACUCCGGGCCAGCGUCCGCGGUAAUGC
rnacentral:rRNA from 1 species